GCGACUGUAGCUCAGUUGGUUAGAGCACCUGGUUGUGGUCCAGGGGGUCGAGGGUUCGAGCCCCUUCAGUCGCC
rnacentral:tRNA from 1 species